GAUGAAGAACGUAGCGAAAUGCGAUAAGUAAUGUGAAUUGCAGAAUUCAGUGAAUCAUCGAAUCUUUGAACGCACAUUGCGCCCGCCAGUAGUCUGGCGGGCAUGCCUGUUCGAGCGUCAUUUCAACCAUCAAGCCCCCGGCUUGUGUUGGGGACCUGCGGCUGCCGCAGGCCCUGAAAACCAGUGGCGGGCUCGCUAGUCACUCCGAGCGUAGUAAUACAUCUCGCUCAGGGCGUGCUGCGGGUUCCGGCCGUUAAAAAGCCUUAUUUACCCAAGGUUGACCUCGGAUCAGGUAGGAAGACCCGCUGAACUUAAGCAUAUCAAUAAGCGGAGGA
rnacentral:misc_RNA from 1 species